rnacentral:rRNA from 1 species
AUCCUGGCUCAGGAUGAACGCUAGCUACAGGCUUAACACAUGCAAGUCGAGGGGCAGCAUUGGGAUAGCUUGCUAUCCAGAUGGCGACCGGCGCACGGGUGAGUAACGCGUAUCCAACCUUCCCUAUAGUAGAGAAUAGCCCGGCGAAAGUCGGAUUAAUGCUCUAUGUUGUGUUUUUGAGGACAUCUGACGAACACCAAAGGUUCACCGCUAUAGGAUGGGGAUGCGUCUGAUUAGCUUGUUGGCGGGUAACGGCCCACCAAGGCGACGAUCAGUAGGGGUUCUGAGAGGAAGGUCCCCCACAUUGGUACUGAGACACGGACCAAACUCCUACGGGAGGCAGCAGUGAGGAAUAUUGGUCAAUGGGCGAGAGCCUGAACCAGCCAAGUAGCGUGCAAGGACGACUGCCCUAUGGGUUGUAAACUGCUUUUAUCAGGGAAUAAAGUGCGGCACGUGUGCCGUUUUGUAUGUACCUGAUGAAUAAGGACCGGCUAAUUCCGUGCCAGCCGCCGC